CCUACGGGAGGCAGCAGUGAGGAAUAUUGGUCAAUGGGCGAGAGCCUGAACCAGCCAAGUCGCGUGCAGGAGGAAGGAUCUAUGGAUUGUAAACCUCUUUUAUCUGGGAACAAAGUGAGGCACGCGUUCCUUUCUGUAUGUACCAUAUGAAUAAGCAUCGGCUAACUCCGUGCCAGCAGCCGCGGUAAUACGGAGGAUGCGAGCGUUAUCCGGAUUUAUUGGGUUUAAAGGGUGCGUAGGUGGUGAAUUAAGUCAGCGGUUAAAGUUUGGGGCUCAACCAUAAAAUUGCCGUUGAAACUGGUUGACUUGAGUAUGUGUGAAGUAGGCGGAAUGCGUGGUGUAGCGGUGAAAUGCAUAGAUAUCACGCAGAACUCCGAUUGCGAAGGCAGCUUACU
rnacentral:rRNA from 1 species